GACGAACGCUGGCGGCGUGCUUAACACAUGCAAGUCGAGCGGUAAGGCCCUUUCGGGGGUACGACGAGCGGCGAACGGGUGAGUAACACGUGGGUGACCUGCCCUCAGCUCUGGGAUAAGCCUGGGAAACCGGGUCUAAUACUGGAUAUGACUCCAUGACGCAUGUUGUGGGGUGGAAAGCCUUGUGCGGCUGAGGAUGGGCCCGCGGCCUAUCAGCUUGUUGGUGGGGUGAUGGCCUACCAGGGCGACGACGGGUAGCCGGCCUGAGAGGGCGACCGGCCACACUGGGACUGAGACACGGCCCAGACUCCUACGGGAGGCAGCAGUGGGGAAUCUUGCGCAAUGGGCGAAAGCCUGACGCAGCGACGCCGCGUGAGGGAUGACGGCCU
rnacentral:rRNA from 1 species